CAGUUACAACUAAAAUUUUUUAACAGUUUGCUCAAUCUUUUGCAACAGUUAUGUCUCUUAGUGGAAAUAUUUGCAAAAGCCAAGCACAGCACCAGUACUAAACAUGGACCCAUGAAAGAAGAACAUGGGCUUGGGAUGGAGCUACAGGUCCUGCUGCAUUGGCCCCCGUCUGAUCUUCAGAAUUUCUGCUUUGUGCCCAGCCAACAAGGUACAGAAGCAGUCAAGCAGGAGGACAAGUUUGUGCAUCAAAGCCUAAAUGAGGUCCUCUAAGGGAACUUUGGAGGCAGAUUGAGAGACAGCAGAGGGAGCAUCACAAUAGCUCCCAUGUGGGAUCACUUCUUGCAGAAGAAUCCAGAGACUUCAGUUACUCUCAG
rnacentral:lncRNA from 1 species